rnacentral:lncRNA from 1 species
GGUUUGGCCAGCUGGGAUGUCUCAUUGCACUCUAGCGACUCCUUGUGGUGGGCCGGGCACACGCUGACUCAUGUUGCUAGUAGUACAGCCUUUCCUCCGACACAUUGGUGUGGCUGGCUUCCCGGUUAAGUGAGCAGUGUGUCAAGAAGCAGUGCGGGAUGGGACAAGACCAAUUGGAUAUCACGAAAAAGCUCAAACAAUAAAACAAUGUCCCAUUGUUGGAUCCUCGUUUAGUUUUUAGGCACAGACUCAGAAAUUACCAUUCUUGUUUAUACCCUCAAGCUAGACUUUCGCAAUACUGUAUGUUUUUAAUAAAACCAAGUCAUUAUUCUUCCAAUGGACCAUACCAUCAUACAUUUUUUUUAAAAGUUUUCCAUCCUUCCUCACCCAGGCUACAACAACAAAAAAGAUCCAGAAACCUUCCUUCUCAUUUCUUGGAAUGCAGUCAGGUUUCAGCCAUCACUCGAGCGAACAGGGGUUUGAUGCCUCGACCUGGUUAAUGCCGCCGCAGAAACCACUUUGCUUUGUGCUUUUAUGGACAAGCGUUACUGUGACUGUAUUUAAAGUAAGCCGACUAAUGAGGGUUUUAACCAUCUCCAUAUGGAUGUGCUCUAUUGACCAGACGAGACGUAGUAUGGGGCAGGAGCAGUGGCAGAUGCGUGUGUGCUGUGGACUGGGCCAUAGUUUGACUCUGCGCCCCUUACCCAAAAAUGUUAAACCGAGGGCAAGUCCUCAAGAGUUAUUGUAUCCCACAGAGCCCUACGGCAGUGGUAAAGUUGUAGUUUGAUUACUAGAAACACGUUAGUUCUAUUUGAAGACGAUGAUGUCACUUUAGAUAUCUUCAAAGCAGUAUUGAUCAAGGAUAGAGUUGGUGAUAAUGAUAAUUUGACGUUCCUUGUAGAAUUCGAUACACAAGAUCUUGAAGCAUAACCGUCAACUUGGGGUCAAUUCCAAUUCAAUUAUUGAAUUCACUCAUGAAGUGGAGAUUUUACCUUGAAUUAAAUUCAAAUUUAUACAAUUUCAAGUUAAGAAAUUGGAAUUGAAUUGGAAUGAGACUGUUUGAACCUUUUUGUAUUGGAAAUGUAAAAACAUUUCAUCUCUGGAACUGAAUUGGAAUUCAAUAUUUUUACAUUUCCGAUUUAAUAGAAUUAAUGCACAUAGUAUAACAAAUGUACUGUAUGUACCCUUACAAAAAUUAAUUUGUUGCUGCAAACAUUCCGAAAGUAUGUGGCAAAUUUGAUGCAAACUAAAUAGUGUGUAACAAAAUGUUGCCAGAGGUUUUCGAAUGUUUGCCACAAGUGUUGAAUGUGUGGCAAACAUUUGGCAACAAUAAUAUGUAUUGACCAGAGGUUCUUUUCUGGCAAACAAUUCUCUCAAGAUUGUAUUUGAAUCUAUGGCAAACAUAUGGCAACUAUUUAUUGACACGAGUGACAAACAGUUUACCAGACGCCGUUUCUGCUGAACACGAGUUCCAAGACCAGUAACCAUUGACUACCAAUCAGGGGGAUUCGAAAAAUCUGUUAGAAAAUGGAACCCAAACUUAAAAAUUAUUAGCUAAUUGAUGCCAAGUUAGCAAUGUCAUGUUUUAUGGGAUAGAGUGAAACACAUUUUGUUGAUACCAGUUUCAAUCUGUCAGUGCUGCUGACUGGCUAGUGCUUAGCUAGCUGGCUAACGUUAGCUAGCAUAUUUUUGCACAAUUAAUGUGAUAGCUAGCUAGCUAGCUAACUAAUGAUUUGCUACUUAUAUUUUUAGUUGUAUACCCUUCCCUCCCCGUGGUGUUGGAAGAAGCUGUAUUGGGAGGAGGAUGGCAUCAACAACCUGGAAAGAUGUUUGUGGUGCACUCGCUCAUAAAACUUUUUGAGUGAUAAAUCAGUGAUUUUCUUCAAGCUUGAUAAAGCCUUAUACACCUGACUGAGGAAGAAGAGAUAAUCAUUAGGAGACAGUUGUCUAAUAGCAUGCAUCCAAGAAGCUUUGGACGAAGGACUUCCACAGAGCCGCCACCCUCAAAAAGACAAUAGUUCUGUACUGGGUUUGAUUUAGUUUUUGUUGUUUUAAAUAUUUACAUUUUGUAAAUGAACUUUUAAUCUCGUCUUCACAAGAAUGUUUAUGAUUUCAAGUUGUAUUGGAUUUAUUUUUUAUCUGAUAAGACAUUGAAUGCAGUACAUGUUGUUUAGUAUAUUUAGUACAUUAAGUAUGUUUAGUUCUCUGUGAGAAGCAAGUUCAUUUAAAGUUAAAUGUGAUUUGGUUCAUGUAGAUACAACAUGUCAAUGUUGUUAAUACCCAGAAACUUGAUUUUAAUCUGCAUAUUCAUACUGAAUUUGCCACAACUAUUUGCCAGAAGCCUGUUUUUUCGGUAAGGGUAGGGUUUGUUUUGAAUUAUUUAAAUUUCUAUUCCUAUAUUUCCAGUAUAGCUAGGAUGUCUGUCUGAAUAGUGACAAGAUCAGCCUGAAAGUCUGAAUUUGCAUUUGUUGAAUUGUUGGGGAUAAUAUUGAAUUGGGAAUUUAAUUAUUGGAAUUAUCUAACAUUGGAAUUCAAAGGAACUGAAUUACUGUACAUCUGAAUUCAAAGACUGACCUGGAAUUUGAAUUGAAUUAAAUGGAAUUUACAGGGAGAGAGAAUUUAAUUAUAAUUUAAUUAGUGGAAUUGACCCCGACCCUGGUGUUAGGUUUAUCCCUAAACGUCCUUUGCCACCAGUUUAAACAAAUCAUAAAUUCAUCUAAUUUGCAUGUCUGGUUACUGAGGUUAAACAAUUUCCCUCAAGGGUACAACACCAGUACUCCAACCCAGAAUCUCUACUCCUCUCAGUUACAUUCUGAGCCUAAUCUUUGCCCUCCAGUCAAGACCACCCCACUUCUGAUGCAAUAGGGGUUCAAUCUGUCCUCUCAUGGCACUGGCUUGCGAGAUAACUGAUGGCUGAACUGAUGGAGCUCAUUGGAUUGCAUAGGAUUGUGUCUAUCAUGUGUUGGAUAUUAGGGCAGCCUGGCAAGAGGUGAGGGUGCCAGCUGUUGGGUCUUGUGAUCCUGAUUAGAUUGUUGUUUCAGUGUUGAUUGUGUCUAGGAGCAGAGGUGACCUGGGGCUGGGGAGGGAAAAGAUGAUCACCCUUGUGAUCACCCUCCUUUCGCACCCAAACACCUCGCGGAGCUCAACCGUUCGCCAGCUGAUCUUUUGAAGGAUCUCUCUCUCUUUCUGUCUGCAUUGCCUCUCUUUUAACGUCUUGUGUGUCCUUGGUGGUACCUCUCUUUCCCUCUCCUCUCCCCUUUCUGUUUGUAUCUGUCCCUUUUUCUGUCUCUCUCUCGUUUUCUCUUUUUCUCUCUCUCUGCUAUAAGUUAAAGGAGUGAAGGAGUGUUUUAUGCAUCAGUCAUGCUUCAGUACCAGUGAGUGAUUAAAGGAAAGUAUAUGGGCCACAUUGUGAAGUUACAAAGUGGGUGUGAUUCUCCACUUCAACUGCCAGCUUCAAUUCAUUUCUGCAGAGUUGAUUUGGACUGAAAUGACACUUUGUGUGUUGGUUGGUCAGUUUCCAGAAUUGGUUUUGAUUAAGUAAGUACCCAAUGAUGGGGCACAUAGCAAUCUAAUAGUGCUUGUAAUGAAAGUGCAUUUCAAAAGUUAAGGGAUGGCAAAAUGAGUAUGAUGGUGUGUGUGGAGGCUAUAACAUUAAGUGUAACCUAACAAGAAAAUAGUCACAUUGGGUAUAGGAAUAAUAACAAUGUUUGCCUCAGCAUAUUAUGCUGGCGUUGUGAUCUGGUGAGCAGAGGACAAAAUAGGAAAUGUUGAGUUUGUAAAAGAUGUUGUCAAACCUGAUUUUGUUUCCGUCAAAUUGAGUUAGUGAGUGACUAAGCAGAAAAUAUAUAUAUAUUUUUUUUAACUAUAUUUUGGUAUUUUGUUAAUUAGUCCGAUGUUGAAAAACGCAUCAUCAUGUUGUGGCAAAUGACACUUUGCUUCUUGAAAGUCCAAUGUCUUAAACUUGACUACUGACAUGGAAAACAUUUUGUGGGCUAAUAAAAAAAUACCAAAAGAUUGUUUUUUUGUGGAUUUUUCCAUUAACCUUUAGGAUGAGUUGUUGCAAUUUGCUGCCAAAAGCUGCCCAACUGAUCCUUCGCUAAACCCCGCCCCAGACUUUUGGGCAACCAACUGCAGCUCUCCAAUGAAUAGCAACUGUCCUCGAGUCCAACACCUCGGACAAGUUCACAUUUAAAUUGCAUGAAAGCCAGUGAGGGAUAUGGCAAAAACUGAGUGUUAAAAAAAAAAAAAUGCUUGAAUAGCUAAAUAAUUUAACAAUGCACCAGGAUGAUGAUAAUAGUUAGGUGGGUGCUUUUAUUUAUCCUAUUUCACAAAUGUAUUUUUUGCAUAUCCCAACUCCCCCUGACACACCCUUGGAGAGUAGGGUCACAGCCAGGGUCUGCCUUUACAGCAAUUAGGGUUAAGUGCCUUGCUCAAGGGCACAUCGACAAAUUUGUCACCUUGUCAGCUCAGUGAUUCAAACUAGCAACAGUUUGGUUACUGGCCCAACGCUCCAACCGCUAGG